AAGUAUGACAAUGCUGUUGGUAGUAACAGUAGCUACAGUAGCAUUGGUAACAGUAAAAAUAGUAACAGUAGCAACUGUAAAGAUAAUAAUAUGAUUGAAGAAAUGUCAUAUACUUAUACAGACUUUUUUAAUAGCAAAAACACGAAUAAAAAAGUAAAAGAAAUAAAUAUAAAUAUUGUAAAAAAGUUUCUUAAUCAUUUAGGCAAAUUAAAAGGUUAUCCAAAUGUUUUAUCACACGAUGAAUGUUUUUUAGGUAUAUCUCUUUGUGACCCGUACAUACCAAAACAUUUAUUUUUGAAACAACAAAUAUUACCAAAAAAGAUUAACUUUAAUGGUUUUAUAUAUUGUAUGCGAUAUGUACCAUAUGUUACACCCGAUUUUCCUGUACCGACGGAAUAUUUUGAAUCUAUGUGUAACAGUGGUAGUAUUAAUGCAAAAUGUAACAAAAGUGACUAUAAUAAUUAUGCUAACAUAUUUAACAAUAGAAGUGAGUUUUUAAAUGUAUUAAAAUACAAAGGAAGAAAAAAAGAGACAGUAGAAUUGAGAGAUAAAAUUUUGUUAAACAUUAUAAAAUUAUUUGUUUUAAUACCAUGGACUUUUGGUGUUGACACAAGCACAUUUAAUGAAUUUGUAGAUAUUAGUGAUAAUGAAGUAGUAGAUAUGACCAUAUCAUCUUAUUUUAUAAACCAUAAAAAUUAUUUAAAACAGAUGAACAGAGAUGCAUUUGGUGGUGUUGCUAAUGGUGUUGCUAAUGGUGGUACUAAUGGUGGUACUAAUGGUGGUGCUGAUGGUAAUGAUGAUGAUGGUGAUGAUGGUAAUGAUGAUGGCGGUGAUGAUGGUGAUGAUGGUGAUGAUGGUGAUGAUGAUGAUGAUGAAACUAUAACAAAUACAAAUGAUUAUUCAGAUUAUAUACCAACUAAUAGUAGCGUUGAAGAUAUGCUGGUGUCAAACUGUAGUGAAGAGGUAUCGUAUCCAAUAAAAAAGGAAAUAGAAUAUUUAAUUGAAGGGGGUAAAAAUAAACAACAUUUUGAUGUUUUAAAUUCGUGUAAAAUGAAUGUAAAAAAUAAUUCCAAAGAUGAUAAAGACAUGAGAUUAAAUAAAGUAAUAGAUUCAUAUAAUAGUGUCAAUGGUUUGAAUGUUGAAAGUAGUGGGUGUUAUAAUAACAAUAGUUUUUUUAAUGAUUUGCGGUUGUUGAAAAAAAAAAAGAUGAGUUAUAAAUAUGUACCUAAAUGGCAUCAGUCGAGUGAUAUAUUUUUAUCAAGAUUAGUAUCAUAUGAUGAAAUUCAAAUAAGUUUAAAUGAAAUUUAUCCUUUGUUAUUAAUACAGACAGCUUUAAUUUGUAUGAUUCAUUUAUCUUGUUCUUUAUUACAUGAAGAAGAAUGGAAAUUAUUUUUUGACGAACCGUUUCUUUUAUAUAAUAAAUUAACACCUGAAGAAGUUGCUAUGAGAUAUCUAAAAUUAAAAGGCCAUAAAUUUCAUAAAUUAAAUCAUAUAGAAAUAAAGAAAUCUGCUAGUAUACAUAAG
rnacentral:lncRNA from 1 species